GACCAAGGAGUCUACCCAUUAUGCGAGUGUUAGGGUGGAACGAAACCCAAACGCACACCGAAAGGGAUGCAAGAUGUGAAGCGCAACUCGGGCGGGAUCCCGGGCGGAGAAAUCGGGCGGCGGAGAAAUUUGCCGCGUCUUGAUUGCUCCGAUGAAGGACUUGAGUAAGAGCAUAAUUGGUAGGACCCGAAAGAUGGUGAACUACGGUUGAGUAGGGUGAAGCCAGGGGAAACUCUGGUGGAGGCUCGAAGCGUUACUGACGUGCAAAUCGUUCGUCAAACUUGACUGUAGGGGCGAAAGACUAAUCGAACUAUCUAGUAGCUGGUUCCCUCUGAAAUUUCUCUCAGGAUAGCAGGAACAGAUUGCAGUUUUAUCAGGUAAAGCUAAUGAUUAGUGGACUCGGGGGUCUGAGAUCCUCGACCAAUUCUCAAACUUUAAAUUGGUAAGAACCUCUAGUUAUCUUAAUUGAACUGGGCCGUUGCAGGGAAGAGUUCUUAGUGGGCCAUUUUUGGUAAGCAGAACUGGCGCUGUGGGA
rnacentral:rRNA from 1 species